ensembl:lncRNA
AUGAGGCCAGAUGUCUGGAAAACGGGCCUGGGAGGCAGAUUGAUGCCAGGCCAUCGGGAGCCCCGCCACGGCUCUCCCUUUGUGGCUCUCGGCAUCUCUGAACCAUUCCCGAGCAGACGAGCGAGCGGAGAGGAUGGGCAUGGAGAGGACGGGCAUGGAGAGGACGGGCAUGGAGAGGAUGGCCGAGGAGAGGACGGACGUGGAGAGGACGGGCAUGGAGAGGACGGGCGGGGAGAGGACGGGCGGGGAGUGGACGGGCACAGAAGGGACGGGCGGGGAGAGGACGGGCGGGGAGUGGACGGGCACAGAAGGGAUGGGCAUGGAGAGGACGGGCGCAGAAGGGACAGGCACGGAGAAGAUGGCCGAGAAGAGGACGGGUGGGGAGAGGAUGGACGCAGAAGGGACGGGCAUGGAGAGGACGGGCACAGAAGGGACGGGCAUGGAGAGGACGGCAGAGGAGAGGACAGGCUGCAGAGGAAGGCCGAGGAGCCUUUCUGGCUCCGAUCUCCUUUCUUCUCAGCUCUAAGUUUUCCCCCUUCAAGCAAUCCUUUCCCAUAUUGCCUAUGGGUCGGGCAGCACCCUGCGGAGGGCCUUUGCCCAGGGAGGAACUCCCUGUGCUGCGGCCACCGGCCAGAAAGGAGGGCCUCAGCCCCUGGCCGCUCCCAGGCUCCUGCCCUACCCUGGGAGACCUUAACGUGUGCAGACUUACACCGAGGACUUUGGCAGCUACCAGACUGGCGGGACACUUCCCAGCUGUGUGACCCUGGACAAGUCACUUCACCCCCACGGCCUGGCCCUUCCCACUCUUGUGCCUUGGAACCAAGACCCAGGAUGGACUCUAAGACAGAAGGUGAGAGUUUAAGAAGAGGGCCUUGGAAGGGGUGGGAUGGGGGAGAGAACAAUGCUGCAGAGAGCUUCACCCCAGAUCCCAUCAGGCCACGUCACCCCGAGUGUCCUUGUCACUGUCAUUUCCCUUUGAAUCAGCCUUUGAUUUCUUUGCCUUUCUUUUUCUUUGGGUGCGCUAUCUGUCUGACCAUUGGUCUUGUCCUUAAUCUGAUCUAACCCUUUUGCCUUUAUAAAUUCCUCAAAUUAUUUCUUAAUAACAUUUUCCAAGUUAGUAUCCACCACCAUUAUCUGUGCUGCCUUUUGGGGGAUCACAAAUCUAUAGAUAUUCUUCAAAUAGGUCAGAGUCUGUAAAGCUGCCAUAGAAAUGAUGUAAACUUGAGCCAAAAUCUGCCAGAGUAUAGUUUCAGUCUGAAAUGGCAACUGGAGUUGAAUAUGGUGGUGUUGCCAAGGUAAUCCAGAGAAUCCAAAAGCAUGCUGGUCAUUUUGCUAUAGAGGAUGUUAUAUAUCCAGUAAGCCAUAAGGGCUGCCAACACAACUACCCCACAGAGUACUUGUUUAAACAUUUUUCUGCUGUUUCAUAGGGAUUGUAAAGUUCAGUCUUUUAGGGGUGCCAAGCUGUACUAGAUGAUAUUUGAGGGUGUAUAUUUGAUGGAUACUAGAUAACUAAUGGAUCAGAUAGUUAUCUCCCUUUUUGCCUACCCUCCUCCCUUUGUACCUCCCUCUCCAGAAGCCUUUCAGCCUCCCCUCCCCCUUCUUCAGUCUCCUUUAAGUCACUCAGUGUGAGCUGUGAGGUUUCAAUGAAAUAGUUCUUAAUCUUCUUUGUCAAACAAGGGGUUUACUUGGGGAAGACAGGACAAGGGUGGAGGAUAAGGUAAGAGGGGUGGGAUUCUCUACAGUGAGUGUUAGGUUGAAGGCUAUUGAGAGAAAUGGCAAUUCAGUCACCAGCAUGAAACAGAUCCAGUCAGAGAGACAUAUGGACUCUUGUCCUUCUUCUUCUGCCUUCCAAUCAGCCAGGCCACCUCCAACUUGACUAUCCCAAGUCCCAGAGAUAAACCCAGCUUCUUCCUUCACAUCAGCCAGAAGCCCAAAGACCUCAAAUCCAGUCAAGCAGUUGGCUUGGCUCCAAACUGCUUUUCCCAGUCAUUCCAAAUGGAAUCUUCAUUUGACUGACAUCUGACCCAUCUUCAGCUUCUGUCCUUUGCAUGCAUUUUCUUAUAAUUUCUCUCUUCUCCACAGGAGGCCCCACAAAGACCUCCCAGCUUGGCCCCAGGAAGAGACUCUGUUGCCCAGCUGAAGCAGAAUCUCUUUGUAUGGAAGGCAUGACUUGUUGACUUUGCAAGGGAAAGAGCAUUCCUUUGGAGCCACUGUUGACUGAGAGCUAACACUGGCCUUGGCCCAAAAGGCUUUGGUGUAGACAAGUGCACUGAUUAGGCCCUGAGAGCCCUGCUGGGCAGCCUCUGGGAAGUCACGGCGGGACUCCUGGGCUCAGCGUCCUGGUGUCAAAGAAGAGGGGGUCAAGGAGCACCUGAACUUCCUCCUUUCCACCUCCCAAGCCCCGUCCUGUCCUCCCGGGGCUCCCCUCAGGAAGCCAAGUACCCCUGGGGCCCAGAGGCUAAUGGGGGACCAGGGGGUCACCUUUCCACUGUUGUUAGGAUGGAGAUUGCUGCAUGGGAAGGGGAUGGAUGGAGAGAAAAUGAGCGCUUGCUCACUUUUUAGACAAGAAAAUGAAAAUGAAACCAAAAUUAAUAAAACAAGGGGAUUGACUUGGUGUUUCUAAGGU